CUUGGCCUGGCCAGGACGAGUCGUUGUCGCAUCCUUGCACAUUAAUCCAUUGGUGCCUGGAUCUCGGGCUCAGGAUCAGCAUCCCUCAGUCCUUGGUUCUGGGUCCUGGGUCCUUGCAGCACGCAAAUGAGGGCUCAAGCAAUUUCUAUAACUUGACGUUUGCCAUGGUACGCCACCCCCACCCCACGGACGACCCCUUUUGUCCGGCUUGUACUUGUGUUGCUUCGCUUGCCGCUUUGCUGCCUGUCAGCGCAGCUUAAGAUAAAAACUUUCCUUUCCACCCAAAAAGGGGGCAGGAGCACCAGCAACAACACCAGUCCGAUGAGAGGGCAUAAAAAAAAUAUAUAUAUAUAAAAUAAAAUAAAAAAUAUAGAAAAGUGGGAGGUGGACUGCCUCGAAAGGGUUGACUCUGA